AACGAACGCUGGCGGCAGGCUUAACACAUGCAAGUCGAGCGCGUAGCAAUACGAGCGGCAGACGGGUGAGUAACGCGUGGGAAUCUACCGUACCCUACGGAAUAGCUCUGGGAAACUGGAAGUAAUACCGUAUACGCCCUAACGGGGAAAGAUUUAUCGGGGUAUGAUGAGCCCGCGGUGGAUUAGCUAGUUGGUGGGGUAAAGGCCUACCAAGGCGACGACCCAUAGCUGGUCUGAGAGGAUGAUCAGCCACAUUGGGACUGAGACACGGCCCAAUCUCCUACGGGAGGCAGCAGUGGGGAAUAUUGGACAAUGGGCGCAAGCCUGAUCCAGCCAUGCCGCGUGAGUGAUGAAGGUCUUAGGAUUGUAAAGCUCUUUCACCGAUGAAGAUAAUGACGGUAGUCGGAGAAGAAGCCCCGGCUAACUUCGUGCCAGCAGCCGCAGUAAUAC
rnacentral:rRNA from 1 species